rnacentral:rRNA from 1 species
AUCGAACGCUGGCGGCAGGCCUAACACAUGCAAGUCGAGCGAGCGGCGGACGGGUGAGUAAUGUCUGGGAAACUGCCUGUUGGAGGGGGAUAACUACUGGAAACGGUAGCUAAUACCGCAUACCAUCCGAUGUCCCCAGAUGGGAUUAGCUAGUCGGUGGGGUAAUGGCUCACCUAGGCGACGAUCCCUAGCUGGUCUGAGAGGAUGACCAGCCACACUGGAACUGAGACACGGCCCAGACUCCGACGGGAGGAAGCAGUGGGGAAUAUUGGACAAUGGGCGAAAGCCUGAUGCAGCCAUGCCGCGGGUGUGAAGAAGGCCUUCGGGUUGUAAAGCACUUUCAGCGGGGAGGCGUUACCCGCAGAAGAAGCACCGGCUAACUCCGGGCCAGCCGCCGCGGUAAUAC